UCCUUGUGCUCGAGAUCUACCAUGCUGCCUGUUUUCCUUCUCUCCCUGUGCUUGCAGCUGGUUACCUGGACCAGGUGUGUUCAUUCAAUCAAAAAGUGGAGACAUCUGAUCAAGCUAAUCGCCAGCUUGGAGAUCAGUCAGGAAGAUGGAUCUUGAGGACCAGGAAUGAGCAGCCCUGCUCUAGAGUCAUACUUGUCUAUGGGAUGAACACAGAACUGCUUCAUCUUACUGCAGGAUGUAGAGAUGGUGCUUCACAUAUCACAGUCCAAGAUCUUCUGACAUCACAGGUUUGGAGCUCUGUUCCUCCUCCUCCUCCUCCUCCUCCUCUUCCUCUGCCAUGAGAACACCAGGUUUGAGUUUACUAAUCAUCCAGCUGCUUCUGUUCCAGUGGAUCAUCACUCCAUUAGAGGAGGUAGAGGGGCCAUUGACAGUACAAGAGAACCGGAUAUAUGACUGAAAUCGGAUUCUGCAAUCUAAAAUUUUACUUUUUACCUGCUAGUAUGUGGAUAUCUUUUUUAUUUUACACAAAGGAAUCCAAUUAUGACUGAAACAUAGGUAAUAUAACAACUUGUGCAGCUUAUACUACCUGAUACCCACCUCAUCCACGGGAAAAUGGAAUAAAAAGGAGAAAGAGAAGGAGAAACCCUCAAAGAAGAACAGGAAGAGGAGCGUCAAGUCCAUCACUGAACACAGAGGAGACAAACAACAUUCUGUGCAAACAAACCAAAAAGCAGAUCCCAUCCCAAACACUGACACCAAGUCUGUAAGAUGUGCAGUGGGCUGACAAGCACAGGCUGUCCGUUCAUUAUGGAAUCACACAACGUUCCUAACAUUUGCAAUUUGGAGGCCAGAAAAAGGAACCGGCAGAAGUCUCACCACGACUGGUUGAACACCCCCCACCCCCUCCUUGAAGACGUAAUUAAACUGAGCUUUGUCUCUUGUGUGAAAUGUGGCUGCAAUGAGUGCCGCCAGAGAGGAUUACAUUAUCCCACCGUGAUAAAGAACAGUCCAUCAGUGCACGUUCUCCAUUAAAGCUGCUCUCCAUUCCGGCAAAUGUUGGACAAACACUGGUUUAUUCACAAGUCGCUCAAGUAGAAUGUAAAUUUGUGCUCGGCUCUCCCUUCUCCGCCGUCAUCUGUCACUUACCUCCUCUUCCCGCCCCGCCUUUCAUGGACCUGCGUGCCUGUUGUGUUCCUGUUUAUUUUUAUUGUGUCAUAAGUUCAUUGCCAGAGGCGUCUUCCUCUGUUUUUAUUGUGCGUAUUUUCAAUAACUCAUGUCCAUGCUUUUGCUAUUUGUGACUUACAGCAGUGUUUUCCUCUACAGUUAGUGUCUCUCUUAAUAUUAAUAUCUCUGCUUAUGCUCAUUUCUGCGCCGCUUGGCAUGAAUUAUAAAGCCGAGCAUGCUGUUCUGAACUGGAGUGCGUUUGUAUCAAUACUUAGUCAUAAAUGUGUGUGGAAAAUGAUCACAACACCCUUUGUGGUUCAAAUUGUGUAUUCCUUUUAGUCUCACGUGCCAACACAGGAUCAUCGUCUGCAGAUGAAAGACGGACAUAUGGCUAACUGGCACGUCAAAGUACAAUGUUUAUUAAUGUGCUCCACCCUUGUCAAUUAUACCAACAGAUAAAUAAAUAAAUAAUGGCUUUUGUUGGAGCUGUUGGGUUAAUUAGAGCAGCCUCGCGUUUUGUUCAACUCGUUGGUUUCAAAUCUUUGGUGGAGGCAAAAAUUAAGCGUGACUGACAAGAAUUCAUUAUGUGUAGGGAGGGAAUGGGGAAAAAACAAACCAAAAAGUCACUUUAGGACUUUGGGAGGGUAUUUAUUGUUAUAUAUAUUUUUUGUCCUCCCCAGCAGCUGAACAAGGCCUCUUGUGUUGGAUAUUUCCUGUUGCGAUUGGGGGGUUGUGUGGUUUUAGACACAAGAGGAGUUUAUUUAUAUAAACCCCUUUUGUAUUUGAGCCUAAACUUUAUUUAUAUUAUCUUUGCAUGGACCUUCUUUUGGACCAGACAGAAGAAAAGUGGAAUAUUAGAGAUGAGGGAUGAGAGAAAAGAAAAUAGGGUAGCCAUAUUGAGUCAUUUAUCCUCUGGGAGGAUCAUGAAGUCUAGUUCCCUUAGGUCAUUAUGGCAUCGUGUAGUUUCAAGUUCUAGACUUAACUCAUCAGGUUCUAGCCUUAGCUUGUUAUGUUGUAGACCUAGAUCAGGGGUCUGCAAUCUGCGGCUCCCGUGCUACAUUUGGCUCUUCUACCCAUUGAUUGUGGCUCUCUAGUUCAAGAAAAAUUAUAGUUUCUAAUAAAAAAAAAUUUAACCGUAAGGUUAAAAAACAAGUAAAAAAAAAAACUAACUCAAACUAUACUUAAAAUAUGUAACACAGGGUGUCUUUUAUUUUUGAAAGGAAGUAAUGUGAACAUCUGUCAAAAGUUCAUAUUCAGUAAAAAAAA